rnacentral:rRNA from 1 species
UGGGGAAUUUUGGACAAUGGGCGAAAGCCUGAUCCAGCAAUGCCGCGUGUGUGAAGAAGGCCUUCGGGUUGUAAAGCACUUUUGUCCGGAAAGAAAUCCUUGGCUCUAAUACAGUCGGGGGAUGACGGUACCGGAAGAAUAAGCACCGGCUAACUACGUGCCAGCAGCCGCGGUAAUACGUAGGGUGCAAGCGUUAAUCGGAAUUACUGGGCGUAAAGCGUGCGCAGGCGGUUUGCUAAGACCGAUGUGAAAUCCCCGGGCUCAACCUGGGAACUGCAUUGGUGACUGGCAGGCUAGAGUAUGGCAGAGGGGGGUAGAAUUCCACGUGUAGCAGUGAAAUGCGUAGAGAUGUGGAGGAAUACCGAUGGCGAAGGCAGCCCCCCUGGGCCAAUACUGACGCUCAUGCACGAAAGCGUGGGGGAGCAAACAGGAUUAGAUACCCUGGUAGUCCACGCCCUAAACGAUGUCAACUAGUUGUUGGGGGAUUCAUUUCCUUAGUAACGUAGCUAACGCGUGAAGUUGACCGCCUGGGGAGUACGGUCGCAAGAUUAAAACUCAAAGGAAUUGACGGGGUCAUAGCUGUUUCCU